rnacentral:misc_RNA from 1 species
GGCCUCACACGUCUUAAAA